AGAGAGAGAGAGAGAGAGAGAGAGAGAGAGAGAGAUGGCUAAUACCCUUGGGAAGAAUGCUUUCAUCUUCAUUGUUUUCUUCACCCUCUUCAUCGGAGCAUCUCUAUCCUGUGAAGUCUCGACCUACUUCAGAGAUGGUACGUCUUGCAGUGAUUGCAACCGUAGAUGCACAUACGCCUACGCGUAUAAACGGGGCGCUUGUGUUGGAUUAUGGCCGCUUCGUCAAUGCGUCUGCUACAAAGGCUGUGGCAAGUGAACGAUUGAAUAUAUAUGAACCAUCAUCCAAUAUGGGUAUGCUUAUAUAUAUAUAUAUAAGCAUAUGAGCGUGAGAAUGUGUGUUAAUUUGUUCUUUCAUGUUGUCUAUGAUUGCACCCAUGUUUGUGUUUGUUUGUUUGCUUGUGUUUGAUUUUGUAAUAAAAAGAAAGGGCUGCGUACAGCCCCUUUUGUGAUU